rnacentral:tRNA from 1 species
GGAUGUAGCUAAGUUGGUAGAGUGCUUGUCUUGCAUGCACAAGGCCCUGGGUUCAAUCCCCAGCACCA